rnacentral:rRNA from 1 species
GACGGAGGAUGCAAGUGUUAUCCGGAAUCACUGGGCGUAAAGCGUCUGUAGGUGGUCAAAUAAGUCAACUGUUAAAUCUUGAGGCUCAACCUCAAAAUCGCAGUCGAAACUAUUAGACUAGAGUAUAGUAGGGGUAAAGGGGAUUUCCAGUGGAGCGGUGAAAUGCGUAGAGAUUGGAAAGAACACCGAUGGCGAAGGCACUUUACUGGGCUAUUACUAACACUCAGAGACGAAAGCUAGGGUAGCAAAUGGG